rnacentral:lncRNA from 1 species
CUGUGCCUUGUAGGGCUGACCUCUCUUGCUCAUCCUGCCCCCUGAGGCUGCUCAGCUAAACUAUUUCUCCCUUCUUAUACAGGGCCACACCAGAUCGUGCAGCUCCACAUCUCCCAGACCUUUAGUUCCUGCUUGGUGGUGGGGCUCUGGCAGCCAAUUCAAAUAGACGCUCCUGCUGCCCACACAGAAUUCUCACAAAAGGCACCUGGGACCAAGUUAGCACUUCUUUCAUGAGAAUGACUAGAAGCUCUUGCUUUUCUCAUCCUCAUCCUGAUGACUUCCCAUCAGAAACGUGACGAAUCUAAAUGGCUCAGGUUUCUGACAGUGGGAACAUCCUCGAUCUGCAGGGACCUGUAGCUCAUGCAACUUCAGAGACUCUUUGGAAAGGGAGACAAAGGUAAUAACCAUGUGCUUUAUAAAAAUUCAAAUGUGACAGAGACAUACAAUGAAAAAAUGAAAGCCCUCCCAACCAACCAUCCAGAAACCAACCAUUCAGAGGUAACCACCAUGAACAGUUUGGUGAAUAUUCAUGCAGAUUUUUUCAAUGUAUAUGCUAAGAUGUUUUAAUUUUUAAAAUUUAAACAAAACAAUGUAACAACAGAGAUACUUCUUUUUAUAAAGUAGGUUCCACGUCCAGUGUGGAGCCCAAUGUGGGGCUUGAACCCAUGACCCUGAGAUCAAGACUUGACUGAAAAUCAAGAGUCAGAUGCUUAGCCGACUGAGCUAACCUGUACUUCCAGGUAUACUUCUUUGAAACUAAUAUUUCUGAUGUUCCACAUGGAUUCCUUAUAGGACUUUUUCUCUAUACAAUCUCUCUCUAAAAAAUUUCAUGCAUUCUGUGAAAUUAAAUUAAAAU